rnacentral:rRNA from 1 species
CUUAGGAUGAACGCUAGCGACAGGCCUAACACAUGCAAGUCGAGGGGCAGCACAAGGAGCAAUCUGAGGUGGCGACCGGCGCACGGGUGAGUAACACGUAUGCAACCUGCCUGUAAGCGGGGAAUAACCCGUUGAAAGACGGACUAAUACCGCAUAAUACUAAAUUACUGCAUGGUAAUUUAUUUAAACAUUUAUGGCUUACAGAUGGGCAUGCGCAUGAUUAGCUAGUUGGAGAGGUAACGGCUCCCCAAGGCAACGAUCAUUAGGGGUUCUGAGAGGAAGGUCCCCCACACUGGUACUGAGACACGGACCAGACUCCUACGGGAGGCAGCAGUGAGGAAUAUUGGUCAAUGGACGAGAGUCUGAACCAGCCAAGUCGCGUGCAGGAAGAGUGCCCUAUGGAUUGUAAACUGCUUUUGCAGGGGAAUAAAGUGCAUCACGUGUGAUGUUUUGUAUGUACUCUGCGAAUAAGGAUCGGCUAACUCCGUGCCAGCAGCUGC